GGGGCUGUAAAGGUUUCGACAGGUCUAUGUUUGAUUCAGACUGCAGUGGAGCGGUGACCUAAUCACCACUUAAAUUUAAACGCUAACAGAAACAAUAGUUUCGCAUUCGCUGCUUAAGUUACGCAAUAGGCGUCGCAGUGACCCGGUCCGUGGGUUGUCAUUUAUCACUGACUGCGUAAUCAAAUGAAUACGGUGAAGUUCUGCCUGGGAACGGAUCCCGACAAUCUUACAGGCAAAUUCAGUACACGGAUAGUCUGCUCUCAUGUGUGCUGUCUUACCAAGCAGCAGACUAAACUGUAGGCGUCUGAAUGUGGGACAAUUCUUGGACAGGGGUUCGACUCCCCUCAGCUCCACCA
rnacentral:tmRNA from 1 species